rnacentral:rRNA from 1 species
AGAGUAUGAUCCUGGCUCAGAUUGAACGCUGGCGGCAGGCCUAACACAUGCAAGUCGAGCGCGAAAGCACUUCGGUGUGAGUAGAGCGGCGGACGGGUGAGUAACGCGUGGAAUCUACCUGGUAGUGGAGGAUAACUCGAGGAAACUCGAGCUAAUACUGCGUACGCCCUACGGGGGAAAGCGGGGGAUCUUCGGACCUCGCGCUAUCAGAUGAGCCCGCGUCAGAUUAGCUUGUUGGUGAGGUAAUGGCUCACCAAGGCGACGAUCUGUAGCUGGUCUGAGAGGAUGAUCAGCCACAUUGGGACUGAGACACGGCCCAAACUCCUACGGGAGGCAGCAGUGGGGAAUAUUGCGCAAUGGGGGAAACCCUGACGCAGCCAUGCCGCGUGUGUGAAGAAGGCUUUCGGGUUGUAAAGCACUUUCAAUAGGGAGGAAAGGUUGCAGAUUAAUACUCUGUAGCUGUGACGUUACCUAUAGAAGAAGCACCGGCUAACUCCGUGCCAGCAGCCGCGGUAAUACGGAGGGUGCAAGCGUUAAUCGGAAUUACUGGGCGUAAAGCGCGCGUAGGCGGCUUCGUCAGUUGGAUGUGAAAGCCCCGGG